rnacentral:rRNA from 1 species
AUGGCGAACUUGGUGAAGCAUCUGGACGUCCAGGAGGCCGUCAGGAGAGAGAUCGAGGCUGUCGUCGGGGUGGAUGCCGAUGAGGUCGGCGAGGAAGACCUUGGUAGGAUGCAGUACCUCAACGCUGUCCUCAUGGAGGCGCUCCGUCUGCACCCCAGCGUGCCCACUGUGGUUAGGCAGGUGAUGCCCGAGGACCACGUCGUUCUGGAUGGCCAGCGCGUCACGGCGGGGACGAUCGUGCAGUUCCCGCUGGAGCGUCUGGGGCGGGACAAGACGUCGUGGGCCGAACCAGAUGAGUUUCAGCCGGAACGGUUCCUGGCUAGCGGCGGGGGCAAUGGCGUGAGCCUUGUGGCGGUUGCAGGAAGCGCCGGAUAA